rnacentral:rRNA from 1 species
UUGAAAGGGAAACGAUUGAAGUCAGUCGUACCUGUGGGUAAUCAGCCUUUUGGGUGUGAUUAUGUGGAGUGUGAAGAGUUAAACGCCUUUAUGCCUGCAUAUUCGUGCACUUUGGGUGUAUUUACCCGUGUGGUAAGUUAACAUCAAUUUUGGUCGUCAUAGAAUGGCUGGAGGAAUGUAGCUUCGAUCUCGUAUUGAAGUGUUAUAGCCUUCGGUAGAUGUGGUGAUCGGGAUUGAGGAUUGCAACGAUACCCUUCGGGGCUAACCCGUUAGAUCAAAUUGAUGGUCGAUGGGUUAAAUUCGUUAAGGAUGUUGACGUA